rnacentral:tRNA from 1 species
AAAAAUCAAGUACUAAUUGUAUAUUUCACUUACAAUGAAAAGGUCUUAUUUGGAUUUUUA